UUAUUGUCAAGUUUGUUUUUUAGCGGGUAGCAAUUUUCGUGGUUACAAAGGGGGAUAACUGCUGGUAGGUUUUAUUUUGGAAGUAUGUCGCUGGCCUGCCUGCCAUCAUUGCCAUGUGGGUUAUUCUUUUGGAAGAAUAGAUGGUCUACAAACGUCAAUCUGUCACAAGUGAGACUUCAACACGCUAUGAAAUAUGAACUGAACUUUGAUAUAAACUUUCACUACAGUC